UAACUUAGUGGCGGACGGGUGAGUAACGCGUGAGAAUCUGCCUUCAGGACGGGGACAACAGUUGGAAACGACUGCUAAGCCCCGAUGAACCGAAAGGGAAAAUAUUUAUAGCCUGAAGAUGAGCUCGCGUCCGAUUAGCUAGUUGGCGGAGUAAAAGCCCACCAAGGCGACGAUCGGUAGCUGGUCUGAGAGGACGAUCAGCCACACUGGGACUGAGACACGGCCCAG
rnacentral:rRNA from 1 species